rnacentral:piRNA from 1 species
UAAACGAUAACGCCACUGGUGGACUU